rnacentral:rRNA from 1 species
CCUACGUGAGGCAGCAGUGGGGAAUAUUGGACAAUGGGCGCAAGCCUGACCCAGCAACGCCGCGUGAAGGAAGAAGGCUCUCGGGUUGUAAACUUCUUUUAUCAGGGACGAAGCAAGUGACGGUACCUGAUGAAUAAGCCACGGCUAACUACGUGCCAGCAGCCGCGGUAAUACGUAGGUGGCAGGCGUUAUCCGGAUUUACUGGGUGUAAAGGGCGUGUAGGCGGGAAAGCAAGUCAGAGGUGAAAACCAUGGGCCCAACCUGGGGCCUGCAUUUGAAACUGUGUUGCUUGAGUACUGGAGAGGCAGACGGAAUUCCUAGUGUAGCGGUGAAAUGCGUAGAUAUUAGGAGGAACACCAGUGGCGAAGGCGGUCUGCUGGACAGCAACUGACGCUGAGGCGCGAAAGCGUGGGGAGCAAACAGGAUUAGAUACCCUUGUAGUC